rnacentral:rRNA from 1 species
UACGGGGGGAGCAAGCGUUGUUCGGAUUUACUGGGCGUAAAGGGCGCGUAGGCGGCCACCGCAAGUCGACUGUGAAAUCUCCGGGCUUAACCCGGAAAGGUCAGCCGAUACUGCGGGGCUAGAGUGCAGAAGGGGCAACUGGAAUUCUCGGUGUAGCGGUGAAAUGCGUAGAUAUCGAGAGGAACACCUGAGGUGAAGACGGGUUGCUGGGCUGACACUGACGCUGAUUGUGCGAAAGCUAGGGGAGCGAACGGG